AGCACUUUUUAAUUUUUUUAUUUAUUUUCACCAAUGCAAAGAAGCACCCAUGCAACCUAACUAGCUGCCGUUCUGCAUGCGACAGUUGUGGAAGUAAUGGCUUCAGCCAUCGCUCUCGAGCUGCGCGAAAGCAGCUUUGGCGUUCUAAUAGAUAGAAAUUUGAUUGAUAAAUAACCAAUGGCAGUAAGUUUUUUUCGUAUUUUCAGGAAAUCGAGCUGCAUGGGAGAUUGGAUCUAAACUGCGGACAAAAGAGCGAUAGUUAUAAAGUGACAAUUGAUAGUCUUUCUCAGUUCUCCAAGAUGAACGAUCUCUAUUUCAUGGUGCUCCUUUUUGUUUCCAUAUUCCAAGUUUAAAUUGAGACGAAGAAAAGUUUAGCUCAUUUGGUCAAUUAUACAGAUGCGCAGAACCACCGUAUGAGUACGGUGAUCCUGCCUCCUAUUUGAGUACUAUAGUAACAAGAAUUUCCCUUCUGAUAUGCUGAAAUUAGGAGAUGGAGCUAGCUUAAAAGAAAAAGCUUUUGAGCCAGCAGCAGUAGAGGUGAAAGGCUUCCAACCUUUAGAUUUUCUCAAUCUCAGAAUGAUUUGGAUGUUUAUUAUUUGUCAGACAUGCAAGAUACUUUUAAUUUUUGUAAGGAUGAGUGUAACUGCAGAGUUGUUCCAUGUCCUAAUACCAUUGCUGAUCUCUGCCUGAUUCCCAAGGAAGAUUUGUUUUAUUGUUCAAAACUAUUGCUGAGGUUGAACUGCCACAUUGUCCUGUUUCUACCAACUCCUACAGUCGAGGACAUAUGUACUGAUCAAAUUGUGCAAUGCUUUGAGAAAGUCUUGGUAGAAUAUGAUAAGGUUUCCAAAGGCAUUUAUUCUAGCUCAAAGUUACCUAAAGUGACUGUUAUUAGUGUACUUGUGGUAGAGAAGACAGACAAUGGCAGCUCAGAAGAUUUUAAACCCUCAUCAACAAGUCAAGUGCUAGGAUCCUUUGGGAAAAUUUUGGAAAAACAUGUUGGCGACAGAAUGUUCUAGUCCAUUUAAAUAUGCAACUACUUUGAAUGAGGCAAACGUACCUGUUAUGAAUGAUUUGAGAUUCCUUAAUAGUUAAUGGUUAUCUUGCCAAACACUGUUAUUCUGGCAAUGCAAAUUAUGAAAGGGACAAAAUAGAAAACAGAAAACACUGCAGGUAAGAUAUCUUCUGAGAAGAUAAUUGAACAAAAAUCAAACCUUUUGCAGGAAUUUAACACUGAUUUUCCUCAAGUGGAUUCAUCUAGUCAUAGAGACAGCUUUAAUGAGAAUCAAGAUCUGAGGCAAAACUUUGAUCAGGUGACAGAGAAAGAUGAAAUAUAAUCACAAU